AAAUAAAGUAUUGUGCUUCUUUUGUGCUUAGGAUCAGUUUUUGCAUAGAGGGGCUUCCAAAGGAUCCUUUUUCUGGCUGUUGGGGAAGCCUUAACGUCACCACUGAGACCACUGCAGGAUGUUUGAUCUGUAGCUUCUCCCUGCACUGCAGUUACUGGGGUAGGUAUUUCAUAGAAGAAAGUGAUGUAAUGAGUGCUGAAGGUCAUGUUCUGUGGUACUUUUCAAGCAACAGAGUAGAAAUCUUGGCUUACUUUUUUUUUUUUGACAUCUCAGAUUCUAGUGGUUUUUUUUUGUUUAUUUGUUUUUUAAGUAUUGUUUUUUUCUGUAUCUCCUCUUAGUUAGGAGGCAGCUUAGGUAGCUAAAAAAGAAAGAUCUUGAGUCCAGAAGAAAAUACACAAAAAGGCCAUAUAUUUGAUCAUCCACAAAGCCUAUGAGAAAGUUCACAUUACCACUGGAGUCGUAUUAGGUGGAUGACAAUGAAUUGCUCUUAAUCUGUAGCAAUAGCAACUGAGGACAAUUGCAGUAUUUAGGAUAGUGGAGAUAGUAGGUGAAAGUGCUGGGGCAGGGCGAAAGUCAACUGCAGUUUAACAGUGUAUGUCAAAGACCAUCCCAUCCCAAAAUAUCAUAGAAUUCUUCCUGUGUUCUAAGGCAUCACUUGAGCUAUGACCCUAUGGAUGUUUAUAAAUGCUUCUUAGCUGUAUUUUGUUUUUAUUAAAAAAGGGGAUGUUGAAGGGAUCUGUGAAAACAGCUUUGCUGUCUUGAGCAAGAGGG
rnacentral:lncRNA from 1 species